GACGGAGGGUGCAAGCGUUGUUCGGAAUCACUGGGCGUAAAGGGCGUGUAGGCGGCCCUGUAAGUCGAGCGUGAAAGCCCGAGGCUUAACUUCGGAAGUGCGCUCGAAACUGCAAGGCUUGAGUACGGGAGAGGGAAGUGGAAUUCCUGGUGUAGAGGUGAAAUUCGUAGAUAUCAGGAGGAACACCGGUGGCGAAGGCGGCUUCCUGGACCGAUACUGACGCUGAUACGCGAAAGCGUGGGGAGCAAACAGG
rnacentral:rRNA from 1 species